AAACAUUUUCUCAGACAUGGUCAAAGGGUUGCUUGUCUUUGCUCACAUAAGUCCUCGGGGUCUUCAAGGUCUUCCAGUCCAACUCCGAGUACUCUGUCAACUAUAGACGGAAACAAUCACAGUAAGCCACACAACAAGCAGAAACAGAAGUGCUAUAUACAUAGGAGUCAUAAGAAAAAUACCUAAAGCUUGCUCUAGGAGAUUUGGACCAUCAAGG
rnacentral:lncRNA from 1 species